CCUACGGGAGGCAGCAGUGAGGAAUAUUGGUCAAUGGCCGCGAGCCUGAACCAGCCAAGUCGCGUGAAGGAUGACUGCCCUAGGGGUUGUAAACUUCUUUUAUAAGGGAAUAAAAUGAGGCACGUGUGCCUUUUUGUAUGUACUUUAUGAAUAAGGAUCGGCUAACUCCGUGCCAGCAGCCGCGGUAAUACGGAGGAUCCGAGCGUUAUCCGGAUUUAUUGGGUUUAAAGGGAGCGUAGGUGGGUUGUUAAGUCAGUUGUGAAAGUUUGCGGCUCAACCGGAAAAUUGCAGUUGAAACUGGCAGUCUUGAGUACAGUAGAGGUAGGCGGAAUGCGUGGUGUAGCGGUGAAAUGCUUAGAUAUCACGAAGAACUCCGAUUGCGAAGGCAGCUUACUAAACUGCAACUGACACUGAGGCUCGAAAGUGUGGGUAUCAAACAGGAGUAGAUACCCUGGUAGUC
rnacentral:rRNA from 1 species